rnacentral:rRNA from 1 species
CCUGGCAUACAUAGCUAGUUGGUACCACCUGAACCCAUCUCGAACUCAGAAGUGAAACGACUAAGCGCCGAUGGUAGUUUGGGGAUCUCCUCACGCGAGAGUAGGUAGUGACAGGC